rnacentral:rRNA from 1 species
CAGUCGCCGCGGUAAUACGAAGGGUGUAAGCGUUAAUCGGAAUUACUGGGCGUAAAGCGCACGCAGGCGGUUUGUUAAGUCAGAUGUGAAAUCCCCGAGCUUAACUUGGGAACUGCAUUUGAAACUGGCAAGCUAGAGUCUUGUAGAGGGGGGUAGAAUUCCAGGUGUAGCGGUGAAAUGCGUAGAGAUCGGGAGGAACAUCAGUGGCGAAGGCGGCCAUCUGGGACAACACUGACACUGAGGCACGAAAGCGUGGGGAGCAAACAGGAUUAGAUACCCCGGUAGUCCCUGUCUCUUAUAC